rnacentral:sRNA from 1 species
GGGAGGGCAACUGUCACUUCACAUUUCACUGAGUAAGGAAAUUGCAGCUCUGGCUAGUGCAGGCGGGGAGAGACAUCUGGUUUCCAGGGUGCCUGAAGAAUUUCCUUGAGCUCCAAUUAGAGUCAGUGUGGUAGAAUGAAAUCCACCGCGUCUGGGUAUUCCCACUUGUGAAACCCAACUGCAGCGCGCGCGCGCUCAGACGCCAGCGAGGGAGAGGCGCGCGCUGGGCCGGGCAGUGGGCUGGCGCCGGCCGAGCUACACACUGCCAGUCUGUGUGCCUGUCCCUGUCGCGUCCCAGUCUGUGUCUGAGUGUCUGUUUAGCUGGUCUCUGCUUUUGCUGCCAAGCGGGUGGCUCUAGUUGCUGUGGAGGGAGAGGUAGGAUAGGGGUUCUGCACCUUUAGCCUCCAAUCGGCUCCGGUCACCAUGCCCAACGGAUUGAAGCCAGUGGACACGCUGGACUCGCUGUCCUCUGUCAGUUCAGCCUACUGCAGCGGCGGGCAGCCGGGCACCUGCAAGUACUGGAUCCUCGACCUAGACUCGCUCUCCGUCUCCAGCAAUGACGCCAGUCCACCCGCAUCCGUGGCUUCCCUCCAGCCCCACAUGAUCGGGGCCCAGAGCUCGCCGGGCCCCAAGCGGCCGGGCAACACCCUGCGCAAGUGGCUCACCAGCCCCGUGCGGCGGCUCAGCAGCGGCAAGGCCGAUGGGCACGUGAAGAAGCUGGCGCACAAGCACAAGAAGAGCCGCGAGGUCCGCAAGAGCGCCGACGCCGGCUCGCAGAAGGACUCCGACGACAGUGCGGCCACCCCGCAGGACGAGACGGUGGAGGAGAGAGGCCGGAACGAGGGCCUGAGCAGCGGUACUCUCUCCAAAUCCUCCUCCUCGGGGAUGCAGAGCUGUGGAGAAGAGGAAGGCGAGGAGGGGGCCGACGCCGUGCCCCUGCCGCCACCCAUGGCCAUCCAGCAGCACAGCCUCCUCCAGCCAGACUCACAGGAUGACAAGGCUUCUUCUCGAUUAUUAGUCCGCCCUACCAGCUCCGAAACACCGAGUGCAGCCGAGCUCGUCAGUGCAAUUGAGGAACUCGUGAAAAGCAAGAUGGUGAGGCCUCCUAGAGAAAGUCUGACUUUUGGAAGCUGCUCUGUGUUGCUGCUUGCAGAUGGAUUUGCCCUUGUCUUUGUAUUGCUCUGGGCUGCAGAAUGUGGCUGUGGCUUAUGGCUCAUCUCAGGAGUCCCCAUGACUACCCUCGGGUUCACUGAUUUGAAGGACUCAGAGAACUCAGGAAAGCCAUUAUUCCCACAUUUGCAGUGUAUUCCCAUGAAAGGACACAGAUCAAAAUAGGCAAGGGAAGAACUGCAUAGGGCAGGUCUCAGGGAGUGCCUGGUUCAAGCUGCCAGCCAUGCUCUCCCCAUGGAGUCAGGCAGACAGAGGAUUGCCAACCACAGCAGCUCACCCGAGCCUUGGUGUUGAGUGUCUGUUUGGGCUCAGACACACAUGGCUGACUGCUCUGUGUGGCUGACCUUAGGUAGUCUCCUGCUCCUCCAGAGAUCAAGACACUGUCACAUUGCUAGCAUAGACUAUUUGCCUUGGUCCCAGGCCCCCAGGUAAACAAGACAUUCUCAUCAAGCAGAACACUCCAAGGACUUACAGGUUCCCUCCUAGAAGCUGGGGGCAAACCUCACUGCACAUACCCUGCCCGCAGUCACUGCAAAUAUGGUCAGCUCCAGUCUGUCUGAAGAUGUGCCGGGGUCAGUGGUACCCACAGUUAGACUCUCAGUUUUGUUUUGCAACCCCUGAGAUCUUUCAUUUGCGUUUACAAUGUGUAAGAGAGAAGGGUUUGCAUUAUUAUGUAAGGGCUUUAUUUUCUUAGUGAUCUCUUUGUUGCCAGUUGGCCAGCGUGGGUUCAUUUGAUA